AUACAGAGGGUGCAAGCGUUAAUCGGAAUUACUGGGCGUAAAGCGCGCGUAGGCGGUUUGAUAAGUCGGAUGUGAAAUCCCUGGGCUCAACCUGGGAACUGCAUUCGAAACUGUCUGACUAGAGUAUGGUAGAGGGUGGUGGAAUUCCUAGUGUAGCGGUGAAAUGCGUAGAUAUUAGGAGGAACAUCAGUGGCGAAGGCGACCACCUGGACCAAUACUGACGCUGAGGUGCGAAAGCGUGGGGAGCAAACAGGAUUAGAUACCCCAGUAGUCC
rnacentral:rRNA from 1 species